GCAGUCGAGCGAACAGAUAAGGAGCUUGCUCCUUUGACGUUAGCGGCGGACGGGUGAGUAACACGUGGAUAACCUACCUAUAAGACUGGGAUAACUUCGGGAAACCGGAGCUAAUACCGGAUAACAUAUUGAACCGCAUGGUUCAAUAGUGAAAGGCGGCUUUGCUGUCACUUAUAGAUGGAUCCGCGCCGUAUUAGCUAGUUGGUAAGGUAACGGCUUACCAAGGCAACGAUACGUAGCCGACCUGAGAGGGUGAUCGGCCACACUGGAACUGAGACACGGUCCAGACUCCUACGGGAGGCAGCAGUAGGGAAUCUUCCGCAAUGGGCGAAAGCCUGACGGAGCAACGCCGCGUGAGUGAUGAAGGUCUUCGGAUCGUAAAACUCUGUUAUCAGGGAAGAACAAAUGUGUAAGUAACUGUGCACAUCUUGACGGUACCUGAUCAGAAAGCCACGGCUAACUACGUGCCAGCAGCCGCGGUAAUACGUAGGUGGCAAGCGUUAUCCGGAAUUAUUGGGCGUAAAGCGCGCGUAGGCGGUUUUUUAAGUCUGAUGUGAAAGCCCACGGCUCAACCGUGGAGGGUCAUUGGAAACUGGAAAACUUGAGUGCAGAAGAGGAAAGUGGAAUUCCAUGUGUAGCGGUGAAAUGCGCAGAGAUAUGGAGGAACACCAGUGGCGAAGGCGACUUUCUGGUCUGUAACUGACGCUGAUGUGCGAAAGCGUGGGGAUCAAACAGGAUUAGAUACCCUGGUAGUCCACGCCGUAAACGAUGAGUGCUAAGUGUUAGGGGUUUCCGCCCCUUAGUGCUGCAGCUAACGCAUUAAGCACUCCGCCUGGGGAGUACGACCGCAAGGUUGAAACUCAAAGGAAUUUGACGGGGACCCGCACAAGCGG
rnacentral:rRNA from 1 species